rnacentral:lncRNA from 1 species
GAGAGAAAAAACACAUUGUCUACUUGAGUAGGGAAAACUAAAGAGUUUAAUAGAAACAUAUUAUUUUUUGAGUAAAAUAACAGCAAAGUUGAUGAUCGUUUACGUAUAAUGAUAGGAAGUUUUUCUAAACUAUAACAAUAACUGCUAUAAUAGAACUGAAAUAUCCUACAAGCGUAUUGGGGGGAUUUCUGCACUGGCCAA